rnacentral:rRNA from 1 species
UACGUAGGGGGCUAGCGUUGUCCGGAAUCAUUGGGCGUAAAGAGCGUGUAGGCGGCCCGGUAAGUCCGCUGUGAAGGUCGGGGGCUCAACCCUCGAAUGCCGGUGGAUACUGUCGGGCUAGAGUGCGGAAGAGGCGAGUGGAAUUCCUGGUGUAGCGGUGAAAUGCGCAGAUAUCAGGAGGAACACCAAUUGCGAAGGCAGCUCGCUGGGACGUAACUGACGCUGAGACGCGAAAGCGUGGGGAGCAAACAGG